UCAUUGAAACAUGUCUUUUUGAUUAUAAUUUAAAGUUUUCUCUGCCCAAUGAAUUUAAUUUAAUGGCCGCAGUAUUUUGACUGUGCUAAGGUAGCAUAAUCAAUAGUUUUUUAAUUGAAAACUGGUAUGAAAGAGUUGAUAAAAUAUAAACUUUAUUUAUUUUAAUAUUAAAAUUUAAAUUUUAAGUUAAAAUGCUUAAUUUUAUUUAUGGGACGAGAAGACCCUAUAGAAUUUUAUAAAUUUAUUUUUAAAAAUUAUUAUUUUAUUAUUUUUAAGAGUUUAUUUAUUUUAUUGGGAGGAUAGUUAAAUUUAAUUAACUUUAAUAAUUUAUUUUACAAUAAUUGUUGAAUUUAUGAUUUUAUUAUUAAUUAUUAGAUUAAAUUACCUUAGGGAUAACAGCGUAAUAUUUUUAGAGAGUUCAUAUUGAUAAAAAUGUUUGCGACCUC
rnacentral:rRNA from 1 species